AUUGCUCCGGUUGUUUGUUACCCGCAGCAAAUAACCCUUAACACCCUCAAUUGAUGCGGUCCUUUGGAAACCGGAGCAAAUAACCCUCAAUUGAAAGGGGUAUAAUUAAAGAAAGCAAGGUAUUCAUUUCUGCAUAUUCUGUUGAGGAGUAAUCAGAGAAAAGAUAGUGUGCGAUUUUUCUUCAUUUCAUUCUUACAGUUCCUUUUAGGGAUGGAGAGCGCAUAGGUUUCAGUUAUCUUUAUAUCUCAGAAGUAUACUGGAGAUAAGGCUGAAAUGAAGGUGCUACGUGAUUCAGCUACACACACUUUCAACAUCAAACUUGGUACUCAUAGGAGACUCAUUCCAGCUCAUAGCAAGGGUAGACCUCCAUCGUAUUAUAUAGUUGCGGGAUUUGUAUUCACAACUGUCUCAGUUCCAUAUCUUCGUUCUGAGGCCUCGAUUGGUAAAUAUGUGCAAGUAUAUGGGUAUCAUGCCAUUUGGAACAGAUGCAUAUUUACUUUUAUGCUUCGAGACAAGCUUCGAAAGUAAGUUGUGUUGGUCAAGGUGAAAAAUGCGGUAGCUGGUCAAGCUUCGAAAGUAUAUGGGUAGUAUGUACUUCAGAUUUCCAGAUUUUCGAGCACAAAAAUGCGGUGGGACGUAUGGCUACCCGUCAUUGUAAUUAAUUUUAAGCGAUAGAUAUAUAGUCUCCUUUUGCUGGGCGAAAGAGAAUGAUUAGCAUGAACUAUAUUUACUGUCACAGUUCGAUCACACUUCUCGAUUCUGUACUUCCCUGAAUUUUUUUGAUUCUGUGUACUACUAAUUUAUUUGUCAAUUUCUGUAUGUUAACAGUGUCCAAUCUCCAUGAGCAUACAAAUUUGUA